AAUAAUAAUAAAAAAACUUUCCAAAACAUCCUUUAUAAUUUUAUGGGAACUACAAACACAUCACACAUGUCAAUUUCCCAAAAUUUGCACACCAAUUUAUGCAGCUUUCCAUUGAGUUUUGUUUUGCCUCCUAAACCAGUAAACCCUCUACUCUCGAGCAUUGAAAAGACCAAAAUGUGCCCCUAAAUUAUCUCUAAAAAUUGAUCUCAUUACUCCAUUAUCAUAAGUACUACAGUAGUACAGUACUUCAUUUUCAAGGGUAUUAAUUUAUAUUGGUUCAUUUGCCCCCAAUUAUUCAUGGUGUCUUUCAUUUGUGCUUGAGUCUUGACACCUAUCAUUUGAUUACUAGUUUGCAACUGGUUGGGGGAAAGAGGAAUCCUUUGGGCCAUCAGGACUGAGAUGUGGUGGAAAAUCAUAUUUCACCUGUCCUGUUGAUAGCAAGACUAAAAUCAUACUUCUUGAAUGGCAGGGUUAGUACAAUGUGCUAUAUAAUCGCAUUAUGCAUUUAACUAUACGGUAUGUCAGUAUGUGACGAACUUACUCUUUAACAUAUUACUGAAAUUUGAUAUACCCAAUGUGAAGGGUGAUAGGUACCGUCUCACUUAAUUUAGAAUUUGGCAAUAGAAUUGAUCAGGGGUUGCGCGAACGCAGAUAGUGGUGUCAAUUCAGUUAACCAGUUCAGUUCUGGUUCAAACCAAACAGUUCAGUUGACUUCAGUUCAGUUAAUUCAGUUUAUUUUUCCAAACUUAAUUGAUUCAGUUUAAACUUUUUCGGUUUCAGUUUCAAUCCAUACAGUUAAUUCAAUUUUCAGUUAAGUUCAGUUCAGUUUACAGUUAUCUUUUGGUUUGACCCAUGCAGUUUUGGUUUAAACAGUUGGCUUUUUACGGAUUACUAUCAGUUAAACAGUUAUUUUCGGUUCGGAUUCAGUUAUUUUCAUUUUCUUAAGGAAACCCGCAUUGACUCGGGUGAAAGUUGAUAUCGGUUAUGACGUGCGUUUCGGGUCUCGCUUCGGGUCGAUCCGUUAUUCAUUGCAGGAAAUUCCGAUUUAGUUGGACUUUUAUCACAUAGGUUAAAGUGUUGUUAAACUUGUCGAACACAACAAUGGCACCAAGAGACGUAUAUAUAUUUGUCUGCGAAAUGGCAUUUUGAAGUUGCCAUAUUUUCUGUAAAAUUAUUUUAUUAAAGGUUCAAUAUUUGGCUGAUAUUGAAAAAUUCAAUUUCAAAUUCUUCAUUAUUCUAUAGUUUUCCAAUGUGUAACUAUCAA